GACAAACGCUGGCGGCGUGCUUAACACAUGCAAGUCGAACGCUGAAGCUUGGUGCUUGCACUGGGUGGAUGAGUGGCGAACGGGUGAGUAAUACGUGAGUAACCUGCCCUUGACUCUGGGAUAAGCCUGGGAAACUGGGUCUAAUACUGGAUACGACAUGUCACCGCAUGGUGGUGUGUGGAAAGGGUUUUACUGGUUUUGGAUGGGCUCACGGCCUAUCAGCUUGUUGGUGGGGUAAUGGCUCACCAAGGCGACGACGGGUAGCCGGCCUGAGAGGGUGACCGGCCACACUGGGACUGAGACACGGCCCAGACUCCUACGGGAGGCAGCAGUGGGGAAUAUUGCACAAUGGGCGGAAGCCUGAUGCAGCGACGCCGCGUGAGGGAUGACGGCCUUCGGGUUGUAAACCUCUUUCAGCACGGAAGAAGCGAAAGUGACGGUACGUGCAGAAGAAGCGCCGGCUAACUACGUG
rnacentral:rRNA from 1 species